AACUAUCAACUACAGUGGGUGCGGAAGAACAUCCCAGGAGAGAUGCAGCAGCGACAGUGGGAAGAGAAGCGAGAAUUCAGAUAUCAGAAUACCUGCGAUCAGGAUUCCAGAAAGCCUGUGACUCUGACAGCUCGAUCACAAGUGAUAGAUGAUCUAUGUGACAUCUCUGUCAAGCAAAAUGCUCUCCAGCCUACAAGCAUUUGCAAAGAAGACACUUUGUAGAGGGUAAAAGCAAACAACAGGAAAGAGUCAGUGAAGAAGAUAAGAGACAAAUAGACAGAGGCAGACAGAGAAAAAGAGACAGAGAUACAGAGAGAGAAAGAGACAGAGAGAGACAGAGAGAGAAGAGAGAAAAAAGUGUUGUGGCAAGAAUGAAGAUAGGGUGGAAGUCGAUUCUGCCUUCUAAGUCUACUGCUGGCACAGAUGAAGGGAAUCAGUAGCACUGAAAAAUGACAGACAGCACUCAACUGAACACAAGAACUAUCAACAGACUGGAAUUCUAAACAAGAAAAUUACACUUACCAGCAGUGAUCAUGCUCAUGAUACUAAUUCGAAUCUCUGUGUCCUGACUCCUGGAUACCAGUUUUUGAAUCUUUGUCUUGGUUCCUUAUGAUUCAGUUUUCUUCAUUCUUAUUUUAAUAAACAUUUAAGCAUGAUAUGAUCAGCAAAACUAUCAAAAUCAUUUUUAAA